rnacentral:rRNA from 1 species
GACGGGGCUUGCCCUGUCUGAUCAGUGGCGAACGGGUGAGUAACACGUGAGUAACCUGCCCUUGACUCUGGGAUAACCGCGGGAAACGGCGGCUAAUACCGGAUAUGAGACGUACAGGCAUCUGUUGCGUCUGGAAAGAUUUAUCGGUCAAGGAUGGGCUCGCGGCCUAUCAGCUUGUUGGUGGGGUGAUGGCCUACCAAGGCGACGACGGGUAGCCGGCCUGAGAGGGCGACCGGCCACACUGGGACUGAGACACGGCCCAGACUCCUACGGGAGGCAGCGGUGGGGAAUAUUGCACAAUGGGCGCAAGCCUGAUGCAGCGACGCCGCGUGAGGGAUGAAGGCCUUCGGGUUGUAAACCUCUUUCAGCAGGGAAGAAGCGAAAGUGACGGUACCUGC